GCCCGACCUCAAACGUUGGAGCUUCUUCUACUACUUUUUUUUUUUUUUAAUACGUUUUAGUUUCUCUGCGCUGCCUCUCUGCCUGCCUCUUCGCCUAGCACGGACUCCAAAGGCUGCUGUUGCUGCUAAAAGCGAGCACUGCAGCUGUAGCCAGAUGUUACCACUUUCCCCCGUCCCCGGGUGCCAGAUCAGAGAGGGCUGCCGAGCCUGGGCCUACGGACUGCCCUCUCACAGGCCCCCAAUACACCUAUACAGGUAUUCCCAGCCCAAGGCUGGUACGGAAUGACUACCAGGACAACCAAAACACUGAGUCGGCCUGAAGCAAAUCCUGUGGCGGGUCCUUCAGGCAAGAAGGCAAUACCUGCAGAAGAGUCUUCUCAUGGGAAAUUAAGGUAGUUUGUGGUCAGAGUACGAACUCAGCCCACGGGGGCUUCCGAGAACUCAGAAAGUUUAGACUGGGUCCUUAUUUUAAGAAGCUCCUCCCGCAGCAUUGCCCCCUGGGAACCUGGAAAGCAUAUAUAGGAAUUUGGGGGUUCCUUCCAGGACCUAACAAGCAUAAGUGGCCCUGGGACAACAGGAAAAAGGAGAAGGAAAAAGUCAGACUGAGCUGCUACAGAGAAGAGGGUGAUCAAGGAGGACCAUUGUUUAGGUAGACAUCUGAAACAGAAGACUCUGGGCAAAAACAUCAAGUUUACCUAUCUCUUCAAGGACUGAGGGACUUUCCAAGAAAAGGUUUGUUUUUUCCCCAACUUCGUCUCCUGGUG
rnacentral:lncRNA from 1 species